AAAAGAACAUGGCCGUUGAAGGCAAAUGUCGGUUAGAAAGACCCAAAGAUAGCAUCCGCAAUGAUGGAUCAAGCUAGACUAGGAUUGGAGACAAACCAUAAAAUAGAGAAACAUGGGUGAGCGAUAGUCACAGAGCCAAGAUCCAAAGGUUGCGAUAAUCGAUUAACCACAGCCCGCACCAAUAACACCGAUCGCCAAGCGUCCCACUUGCGCUAUACCUACUUAGUCACCAACGAACGAAAACAAACAAACACUCGUGCCUCUAGAUAGUCUGAACACAAGCAGGGUAACAACUAAACCUUCUUCUUUCAACACAAACACCUGCAUCCAAGAAAACCAACCAAACAACACAACAUGGUAGACCAAUGACCUGUCCUCGCCAAUCAGCUCUGGGUCUACCUCCAAAAAAAAAAAAAAAAA
rnacentral:misc_RNA from 1 species